AUUCAGACAGAUAGAAAGCCAUGGGAAGCAAGAAGCAGAAAGUCAACAAAAUCUGGAAGAGAAGGGCGAAGCCAGGAGAGACCACCAUGUGCACUGCAUGUGACAUAGGAGCCUGGGACCAAGAAUCACCAGCAGCCAACCCCAGAAUGCCAGUCUUUGAGAAGAAAGCAUCACCUUGAUGAUGCAUUGAUUUGGACUUCUCCUAGCCUCAAAACUAAACCUGCAUUCUAGCUGUGGAGGAGACCACACCAUAUAUUUGCUGCUCUUCUAAGGCAUCUACUGCAUCUUACCAGUCAACAACCCAACCUUACAGGAAAUGGUCUCCCAGCUAGCACUGCAACUGAACAUUCAUCAGGUCAUUCCACAUUUUCUUCAAUCCAGACACAUAUGGAUGAUGGGGCAUGUGAACAUUAUGGGCCUGAGCCCAUGGUCAAGCUUCCCAUUACUAUUUCCUGGUUGGAGCCAAUGUUGAACAGGUUCCUAAAGCAUUUGGUCCAUGCAUGGUGAUGCUGUCAGGGGAUGAAAAGCAGUGUGCAUACAUGUGUCUAUCCUUUGAAGACAAAGUUCUGCCCACUCUGUGACGGAAAAAUUUCAAUAUUAUUAACCUGCUUUCAGGUGGUCUCUGCCAUUGGGAAGUGGGACACUUAGCAGUUGUGGGAGCCAGAUCAGCUGUAUGUAAGGGAAAUCCAUGUGCUGCUCUCAUGCAUAGCUUCCAUCCUUCAUGUCACAUUGUUCAUGGCCCACUAGACAACCACCAAGCGAGAUGGGAAUACAGGCUGACUGACAUCCACAAGACACAUCUUUUGUUCACCUGAUGAUGAAGAGCAUCCUCACAUUUUGUCUCCAUUCUGAGACUUCCAUCUGCAGGCCUCUCUCCCAGAAAUCCUUGUCACUGAUUUUAUCAUCUUGUUUUCUCAUGUCCUGGCAGACUAUCUAACCCAUUAGCCAUAAUCUAUGAAUGUGUAGAUCCAGAUGUGCUUCUUGAAGUUCUGCCAAAUAGAAGGAUUUCCUUUCACCACUGUCUGUGGGACAGCAACUUCCACUGCUGAAUGUGCAGAUCGUCUGUAAACCAGGCUUGAAUUCCCUCCUCUGUUAUCUGGUCACAGGCAACUCUCCAUGAGGCCCUGGGUGUUGGCUGAGGGAGAAGUGGUGAAGCAGUAGGAGCAGGUACCAUGGGGGUCUGAGUCACCUGCUCAUGCAAUUUACUUGGGCCUUUCAGGCCUGCUUGGGCUCAAACUCUUGUACCAUUCCUGUUUUGUAAUACAACUGCUGCACAUGUCCUAUUUUAUAGUUUGGUGGAUCAUAAAGGACCCAGUUCAUGAUGGCAGUUCAGGUCACAGUCAAUUGGUGUUCCACUUGCUGUUCUCUACCAAGUCUAAGUAGUAAGCUGUAUUAGACAGGGUUCUCCAGAGAAAUAGAACCAACAGCAUAUAUAUAUAUAUAUAUAUACAUAUACAUAUAUAUA